UCCGGCUUGUGGCUCGGCGGAGCUGAGCUCCUCCGCAGCAGCACCGUCAAGCCUACAGAGUCUGGAAUCUCUUGGACAGUUCGAAAGGAUAUUACUCGUUACUCCUCUCUCCUCGUGAAGAGAAACAUCAACUUCACUAUCAUGCUCGAAAACGUCGUUGAUAACAUCUACACCGGCGUUUAUCAUGUCGACGUCACCUUUUUCUUCUACAAGGAAACCGCCGUUAGGGCUCCGUUAAUCGGGGGUGAUCACAUAAGCAUUUUCCCACAAAAACAAGGCCUAAUUGGAGGUUUUGCGGCGAAGGAUGUGUAUGAAUCGCCGGCUGAUUUGAUAAUUCCAAUAUCUGCAUUUCAUAAUAGUAAAGGUUAUUGGUUUAUAAUCAAAGGGGAUUCAGAUGUUCAUUUCAGGAAAUUGAGAUUCCCAGACAACACACGCAGAGCCGUUUUGGAAUUGUACGUGUCGUUUCAUGGAAACGACGAGUUUUGGUACUCUAAUCCAUCGAAUACUUACAUUAGAAUGAACAAUUUGACUACUUUGCGAGGGAAUGGAGCAUUUAGGGAGGUUUUCGUGACAAUUGAUGGGAUGUUUGUGGCCUCAGAAGUUCCAUUUCCUGUUAUUUUCACCGGCGGGUUUAAUCCUUUGUUUUGGGAACCUGCAGUGGCUAUUGGUGCAUUUGAUCUUCCCACUUACGACUUCGAUUUGACGCCAUUUUUAGGGGUUCUUUUGGAUGGGAGGGAUCAUGUGGUCGGAGUUGGUGUUAGUGAUGGCAUUUCUUAUUGGCUUGUUGAUGCUAAUUUGCACCUUUGGUUGGAUAUUGGAGCAGCUAGUGUAGAAGCUAAAUCUGUGGUUUAUCAGAAUCCUGGUUCCUCCAUCAAACGACAAGAAGAGUUUAGAGAUCUUGAUGGGUCGUUUGCAAUCAAGGGAACAAGGAAAACACAGCUAGUGGGUUGGAUCAAAUCGAGUGCAGGAAAUCUUACUACUUCUGUUAUGCAUCAGUUUAAGUUCAGGAGCUCUAUAAAGUAUGGAAGGAAUGGGAAUUAUAAGCAUGCUAAACAGAAUAUGAAGUCUACUAGAGAAGUUAGAGUGAUGAAUGAAAUGGGCAUGUUGCUUAGUCGUGUAACUAUGAAAAGAAGGUAUCCUAUCAAAGUGGUCACUUUGAAAAUCCCUGGAACAAAGAAGAAUACCUAUAUGUUGAUUACAAAUGUUUCUCAUUCUUUGAUUGACCACUGUUCAAAUGGGAAGCUUUCGAGCUUUGUUCACAACAAUCAGAUUGCUAAUGGUUGGAUAGAGGUUAAGGAUCAUGAUGUUAUUGCAGGCGAAGCUAUCACUAACCAAACUUUAACUUGCAGGGAUGAUUCUGGUUGCUAUGUCCGUACUGUUGCAGCAAUCGAUGGUAGCCUUGUAAUAGACAAUUCAACCUUUGCUUGUCCAUCCCUUAUUUAAUAUUCUUUGGUAAUGAUAGUUUCAAUUUAGGUUGGUAAUGAUAGUUUCAAUUUAGGUUGUUCUUGCUCCAAAAUCUCUAAAUAAUCGGUGCCCUCUGUAUCUGAUAGUGUAUUUAUCAAUCUUUUGUGUGGCGUAAUUUCACAAUAUUUUAGUAAUGCUUUUUUCCCA
rnacentral:misc_RNA from 1 species